UGGGCUCCCGGGGGUGAGAGGCCCAGGGAGGCAUUGCCAGAGUUUCCCUUGGGAUUCCAGGGCCAACCUGGGUGGCCAGGGCUCCUGCUUUCUGGUCUUGGCUCCUCCCCCACCCCAGAGAGGGGCUCUCCCCAGGCCAGUUUGUCAGCCUCUGGUGUGGCAUGCCCCUUGGGCAGAGCUGUGCACCACAAGCUCCCAGACACGGUCAGUGUGUGCACGGUGUCUUUGCCCUGCUUCACACCCCUGGCCCCUGGGGAAGCCUGGCCGGUCCAGCACAGCAGGCUCCUCCCAGUACCACGCCCAGCUCUGAGCCCUCUGCUUUCCUCCCUCAGCAAAGGGGACUGCUGCCCAGACACCUGCCGAGUGCCAAGAGUGCCCAGGAUGCUCUACCCCAAGGCCCAUGUCCUCCAGCCCCCGUAAGUAGGGGACUUCCUGCCAUGGCCAGUGGGUCCCUGUCACCGAGGACCUCGUGCUUUCCUUUCUCUCGCUCCUGCUGGCUCCAGUCUUCCUUUCCCUUUUUCCUCUUCUCCCUUUCAUGGCUGUAGGAGGCCGGUUGGUUUUGAAUGGGUUUGGCACAAGUUGAGGGAGCAAGGGAGGGGCCUCCAGUUCUUGGGGUCGGGAGCCGUGUGGGUGUGCACACCAGGCCCUGACCCUCUUCUCGUGUCUUCACGGGGAAGGAGGACGGGGAUCCGGGCCGAGUCAUCCCUGAGGUCUUUCCACAGGUGUCAAUGUCAGAGAGACAACGGUUCCAAGCCAGUCUCCACAUGCAAAUGCCUGUCCCCAAAUCCAGGCCUCCUUAGCCCGAGCCCACCCUCCAGCUGCCACUGCCUGAACGAGGGGCACCAGACCCGAGAGUUUCGGCACAGCAAGGUGGCCCAGAGACCACUUUGACCAGCCCUGGCUUGACCAGCAGGGAAACUGAGGCUGAGAGAAGUGAAGGAGAUUGCCUGAGGCCCUGCCACCAAUGAGGGGCAGGUCGGGAUGCGAGCCCAGGCCUGCGGACUCGACAGCCCCACGGCUUCUGUCAUGUCAUGUCACCUCCCUGCCAGGAGAGCUGGAAAUGCCAUUUCUGAGCCCAACACCCACAUCUGCUUGAGUUUCUAGAGCCACCAGCCACGUGGGGUGAUGAACGCUUGACAUGUGGCCGAUCUGGAAUGAGAUGUGCUGUCAGUGUGAAAUACACACUGGAUUUCAAGCACUUAGUACGCAAAAUGAAAUAUAUCUCGAAAAAAGUAAGAUAUCUCAUUUUUAAUUGAGAUUACAUAUUGAACUGAUAAUAUUUUGGAUAUAGUGAGUUAAACAAAAUAUACCAAAGUAACUGUCAUUUCACCUGGUUCCUUCUGCUUUUCUGUGGCCACUAGAAAAUUUUAGAUUACAUAUGUUUCUGUUGGACAGCACUGAUGUGGCGGGACAAGUUGGCACGAGUUUUUUGGUGGAUCCUGGUGGCAUGAUGCCACGAGGACCCAUGAAUGCAUGAGCACCGUGAAAUCAGAAUGGCAGGAGUGAGAGGACCCUGUGCGGGCUAGAGGGAGAGUCAGGGGGGUG
rnacentral:lncRNA from 1 species